AGAGGUAGAGCGGUCGGCUGUUACCCGACUGGUCGAUGGUUCGAUCCCAUCCGCGUCAGCCAAUAAGCCGGUAUG
rnacentral:tRNA from 1 species